AUGGCUCUACUCAGCAGCGGCGCAUCCUCUGCGCGCGGCACCCCCGAUGAAGGCGCGUCCUAUCGUAGCGGAGCCUAAUCCCGGUCAUCAGCGCCGGAUGGACCCAUCGCCAUCACCAACGACGACCAUCCCCACCCACGACGCUGGCUGCAGUGGCCCUCCCAUCGGCGCCAUCCUCGCCGGCGGAUCCAUCGAGGGGCCAGCGAUCCGGCAUGCAUGGAUCCAUCGGGAGGGAGCGGGUGGAGGCUACCCUUUGCAGCGGUGUUAGCAGCCUCCUGGUGGCGAUGCUCCGGCAAUGGUGUCACGCCCUCGACUCGUGUGCACACGAUCGAUGCGCCCCGGCGAUGGCGGUGCACCAGCCUCGCUCGACUCGAGCGCACGACUCCUCCUCCUCCCCCACCGGCCAAUGUCGAGGCGCUGCUCCUUCCCCAUCCGCUGAUGGCGUCGACGGGGUCGGGUUCUCGCCUGAGGACGGUCACACCUGUCUCAUGCCCCCAACAGCGCUACCUCCCCCGAGCAACCUAAUCUCUCGGGCUCCCUGCAAGAAAGUUAAAUGUGCUCUGCAGAGUACAUGCUCUGCGACAUGCAACCGUUGGAUGGAGAUUCUGCUCACUGAUCUCCCUAGUUUCUUACAGACAAUUUCUCUACGACGACGACCGUCUCCAGCAAGGAAUAAUGCGUUGUUGCUGGCGACUAGCACAUACAUGUGGUUCAGCGCUUGACCAAAUAUGAGCUCCACCUCAGCAACGCUGAUGCUAUUCUCUUCAUGGUACACAGCACCAACCAACCAGCUAGGAGUGGCGCAUCAUGGUCUAAUUUUGUUUACAUGGUACAAUUAGUAGUAAUAUUGAUGUAUUGAAUGUGAUCUUGGAUUGUAAUUGAAUGUAUUAGCACUUGUUAAUGUUGA